GGAACGAACGCUGGCGGCAUGCCUAAUACAUGCAAGUCGAACGAAGGCUUCGGCCUUAGUGGCGCACGGGUGCGUAACGCGUGGGAAUCUGCCCCUUGGUUCGGAAUAACAGUUGGAAACGACUGCUAAUACCGGAUGAUGACGAAAAGUCCAAAAGAUUUUAUCGCCAAAGGGAUGAGCCCGCGUAGGAUUAGCUAGUUGGUGAGGUAAAGGCUCACCAAGGCGACGAUCCUUAGCUGGUCUGAGAGGAUGAUCAGCCACACGU
rnacentral:rRNA from 1 species